rnacentral:rRNA from 1 species
GAUGAACGCUGGCGGCGUGCCUAAUACAUGCAAGUCGAGCGAACAGACGAGGAGCUUGCUCCUCUGACGUUAGCGGCGGACGGGUGAGUAACACGUGGAUAACCUACCUAUAAGACUGGGAUAACUUCGGGAAACCGGAGCUAAUACCGGAUAAUAUAUUGAACCGCAUGGUUCAAUAGUGAAAGACGGUUUUGCUGUCACUUAUAGAUGGAUCCGCGCCGCAUUAGCUAGUUGGUAAGGUAACGGCUUACCAAGGCGACGAUGCGUAGCCGACCUGAGAGAGGGAGCGGCAGCACUGGGACUGCGACACGGACCAGAGGCCUAAGGGAGGCAGCAGUAGGGAAGAUUGGUAAAUGGGCGGAAGCCUGACGGAGCAAUGACGCGUGAAGAAAGAAGGUCUAAGGAUCGUAAAACUCGGUGACGAGGCAAGAACAGAUGGGUAAGGAAAACUGCGCGGCGGGACGGGAGGUAAUCAGAAAGACAAGGAUCAAUACGUG